ACUGCCCCUAGAGGCGUUGCAGGUGUGGCUGCGGUGCCCCGCCUGCGUCAUUAGGUGGCAGAGAGCAGAGAGGCUCGUCUACGCCCAGCGUCCUGGCCUGGAUGGUUGACAGCCUGGCACG
rnacentral:snoRNA from 1 species